rnacentral:snoRNA from 1 species
GCAUCUGAAUCUUUCCCACUCCUUGCGCUAUAGUUCUGGACUGUGGGGACACAUGAUGCAACAGGAAGGCACAGGAAAUCCAGACAAGCUCCCUUUCUCCACAGUGGGACUUGUUUCUACGCCUUUGCAACAUUU